rnacentral:rRNA from 1 species
UACGUAGGGCGCAAGCGUUAUCCGGAAUUAUUGGGCGUAAAGAGCUCGUAGGCGGUUUGUCGCGUCUGCUGUGAAAACCUCAGGCUCAACCUGGGGCUUGCAGUGGGUACGGGCAGACUAGAGUGCGGUAGGGGUGACUGGAAUUCCUGGUGUAGCGGUGAAAUGCGCAGAUAUCAGGAGGAACACCGGUGGCGAAGGCGGGUCUCUGGGCCGAUACUGACGCUGAGGAGCGAAAGCGUGGGGAGCGAACAGG